rnacentral:rRNA from 1 species
GGUGAACGCUGGCGGCGUGCUUAAGACAUGCAAGUCGAACGGCAGUCUUCGGACUGUAGUGGCGCACGGGUGAGUAACGCGUAACUGACCUACCCCAAAGUCGCGGAUAACGAUUCGAAAGAAUCGCUAAUACGUGAUGUGCUGUCAGAUUGUGUUCUGCCAGUAAAGAUUGAUUGCUUUGGGAUGGGGUUGCGUUCCAUCAGCUAGUUGGUGGGGUAAAGGCCCACCAAGGCGACGACGGCUAGCCGGCCUGAGAGGGUGGCCGGCCACAGGGGCACUGAGACACGGGUCCCACUCCUACGGGAGGCAGCAGUUAGGAAUCUUCCACAAUGGGCGAGAGCCUGAUGGAGCGACGCCGCGUGAGGGAUGAAGGUCUUCGGAUCGUAAACCUCUGAAUCAGGGACGAAAGACACUUCGGUGGGAUGACGGUACCUGAGUAAUAGCACCGGCUAACUCCGUGCCAGCAGCCGCCGUAACAC